rnacentral:rRNA from 1 species
UCUCACUCUAGCGAGACUGCCGGUAAUAAACCGGAGGAAGGUGGGGAUGACGUCAAAUCAUCAUGCCCCUUAUGACCUGGGCUACACACGUGCUACAAUGGCUGGUACAACGAGUUGCGAGUCGGUGACGGCAAGCUAAUCUCUUAAAGCCAGUCUCAGUUCGGAUUGUAGGCUGCAACUCGCCUACAUGAAGUCGGAAUCGCUAGUAAUCGCGGAUCAGCACGCCGCGGUGAAUACGUUCCCGGGCCUUGUACACACCGCCCGUCACACCACGAGAGUUUGUAACACCCGAAGUCGGUGAGGUAACCUUUUGGAGCCAGCCGCCUAAGGUGGGAUAGAUGAUUGGGGUGAAGUCGUAACAAGGUAACCGUAGA